UGCAGAAUCCCGUGAACCAUCGAGUCUUUGAACGCAAGUUGCGCCCGAAGCCAUUAGGUCGAGGGCACGCCUGCCUGGGCGUCACGC
rnacentral:rRNA from 1 species